UUGCUCAGGUCUCGCCUCAUGUUCUACGAAUUAAUAUUUCGCCCUUUACUAAAUAUUACCGUGGAGUGGGGCACUCCAAUGAGCUUAUAGGCUCAUUUUUGGCUGGCCGCACCCGUUUGGGCG